GCCGAGGCAGGCCGGGUUGAUCACGCCGAAGUCGAGGUUCGCGGCCGCCAGCGGCGUGCGGGUGACGUUGCCGGUGCGGAGGUUGAUGCGCACCAGCUCCACUGAGGCGUGGAUCAGCUCCAUGCGCUCCAGCGUGUGCUCGAUGGACAGGAUGUUGGGCGCCACCAUCACGAUCUCCUGGCCGCCGGCCUCCUCCCACGCGUUCACCGAGUGCAUCAUGUUGAACCCCGGCACCUCGAACCACCGCAUCUCCGACUCGUCCGCGGCGUACUUGGGGAUCACGCCCAGGCGAGGCACCAUGCCGGGGUCCGCCCCGACGGGCGAGCCGCCGCCCACCACCAUGCCCAUGGGGUUCAUCACGAUCUGUAUCUCGGGGAAUAUCGCAUAAUGCUCCGUCACGGCGAAGUCGUGCAGGAAAGACGGCUGCUUCACGGAGAAGAUGGGCACGUCGGCGCCCUUGUUCCCUGCCGGGUCGAACCGGAAGUAAGUGACGAACGGCGGCAUGGGGCCGUAGCGGAACGCGAAGAGCUCGCCGGUGAUGGGGUCCUUCUUGGGGUGCGCGGUCAUGCCCAUGCUGAGGCGGCCACCGAAGUCGCACCUGCCGAGCGUGGUCACCUCGCCCGUGGCCGGGUCGACGCGCACGGCGUACGGGAGGUCCGACUCGCCGAGCGCGUAGAGGCGGCCGCCGAAGACGGCGAGGCUGGUGUUGGCGAGCCCCACGCCCUCCAUCGGGUUCAUCUGGCCUGUGAGCACCCUGGCCGCCGUGACGGCGCCGCGCGCCAUCCCGGCCAGGCCAUGGAAGCCGGAGAAGACGUUGGGCAAGACCGGCUCGCCCGCGUCGCGCUCCACCAGGUACUUGUACGUCUGCACGUAGCGGGAGCAAAGGACGGGGUCGGAGCCGGGCGUCGUCGGGAGGAGCAGGGAGUGCAGCAUGCCGUCGCCGUCGAAGAGGUGGUGCGGCCCGCGCGGGAGGUGCUGCGGGUUGGGACCGUUGCGGAUGUAGGCGCCGCCGGCGAGGCAGCGCGGGAUGACGCCGCGCACCACGGGGCAGGGCGUGGGCGGCAGCUCGUCCACGGGCGCGAAGUUGGCGGACAGCACGUGCCGCGGGUCCACCGACGGCCGCAGCACCGGCGGGUCGACGAACGUGUUGAUCGCCUCCUCCAGCGCGUUGCAGAACGCCGCCUGCAGCGAGGUGGAAGGCCGGCGGCGAGGCCUGGACGACCGAGGCGCCUGCCGCGGCGCAGCGGACGCCCUGCUCGCUCUCGCGGUAGCCACCCUUGUACCGGUCGCAUUGUUUACCGACCUGUCCACCAGGUGCUCUUCCGUCUCUUGUUGCUCGACCGGCUUGGGCGGCGAGGUGAGCACGGUGGCGGUGGCGGCAGCCGACGGCGGCGGAGGCGACGUGCUCUUCUUCCUUCUGUAGCUGGGGUUCGGUGCAGCAGCAGAAGACGCGGCAGGCGAGAUGUAGGAGAGCCUCCUCGAUCUCGGAGCAUGGGCAGCAUUGGCUUUGGCGGGGUAGAGGUCAGCCAUGCUGAAGUUGGAGGUGACAAGUGCUCCCUCCAUUUUCUGCAGUCUGGAGUCUGCAGAUCAAUGGUUCUUUGGAUUACUAACAAUUUUUGUGUUGGAACCCAGGUGAGUAGCAGCAAAUGCCGACACCGGUUCGCACACUACUGCCUUUUGCUGCUUGUAUGGCAUGGGUAUAUAUAGCCUUGGUAAAAGGCAAACUUACCCGGUGGAGAUGUUUAUUUGGUGAAAAUUCAAAGAUCCUCUCCCNNNNNNNNNNNNNNNNNNNNNNNNNNNNNNNNNNNNNNNNNNNNNNNNNNNNNNNNNNNNNNNNNNNNNNNNNNNNNNNNNNNNNNNNNNNNNNNNNNNNUCCCUAAACCUUAAGCUAGAUAGCAUUGUGCUCAUGUCUUCUUUGCAUUUGCAUCUAGGAAGUUUCAACAAAAACAACAAAGUGGCAAAGGAAAAACUUAAAACCCUAGCCACUAUUUCAAUUAAAGGAAAUUUCAAACUAGUUCAAAAUCAAUAAACCCAAAAUGGCCUCAAGAAUUGUUCAAACUUUCUGAUAAAUCAUGAAAGUAAAUGAGCAUUGGAGAAAACUAUUUUCUUGACACUUUAAGCAUUUUAAAUAAAUGCAAAAGCCACUGGUUUCAAAUUUUAAAAUCUGAAAUCAGAAGCUAUAAUUUUCCAAAAAUGUUGAAAGUCUUGGAAAUGAGUGGGGACAUUAUAACAAAUAUUUCAGGAGGUUUAAAAUAGUUUUUACUUUUUGUUUUGGAGCUGAAAUAAUUAGCAAAGCAAUAAAUAGCAAAACAGAAAAACAAAAACAGAAGAAAAAGGAAAAGUCUUACCUGACGCCCACGCCAGGCCCAGCCCAUCUCGCCGCUCGUCCCCUUCCCCGCGCCAGUAGGCAGCAGGAGGUGGCCGCCGCCUCCUCCGGCGCGGCCACGCACCUGCGUGCCUGCCUGGCCGCCGGUUCGCGCUGGCGACGGCGGGGAUAAGCUCCCCAGAGCCUCCCCUAUCCAUUCCCCGCCUCGGUUCUCCUCCUCCGCCCGGAUCCCCUCACUCUCCCUGCUGCCGCCAUUAGAGCCGAGCUCGAGCUCGAGCUGGCCGUUGCCCUGGCCAUAGGAACCCCUCCGCGAGCACGCCAUUAGCUCCGCCUCAUCGCCCUGGUCAUUCCUGCAGAAGCCGAAGCUUCCUCGCGCCCUGCAACGCCCGCAACGCCGUCGUCUUCCUCCUCCGGCCGCCGGACCUCUCCCGUCGAUUCGUCGCCCCCAGGCCUUCCCCGAGCCGUCUGAGCUCUUCUCUGCACUCCCUGUGAGCAUGCGGUGGUUUUCCCUAAGCUUUCCCCGUCGAUCCCCUCCUCUAGCCCUAGUUCCACCGGAGCCCGACGAGCACCGCCGCUGCCGCUCGUCGCCGGUAGCCCUCCGAUGUCCAGCUCGUCCUCCCGUGAGCACCAGAAGCUCCAGGACGACGCGUAGAGGCCGUAGCAGCUAAGAUCUAAGCGUGGAUCCCUCUAAUUCAAGCCCCCCGACGACGCCCGAGCUUCGGCCGCCGCUCCGGCUCGUCCCCGACGCCUCUUCCGGCGACCCUAGCCUCCCCAGUUGGUCUUACCAGAUCGGCCACUUCGCGAGCUUGCUGUAGCUGCCAUCCGCGUGCGAUUUGGUGUUGUGCAGCGCCGUCUAGGUCGCCUCCGGCGAGCCCUCCGCCGCGGGUUUGGUCGCCGGCGACCACCCUCCGGUGGCCGUCGACGUGGCCGGCCAUUAGGGCCUAAUCGCCCUCCUCUGAGUCGCUGACAGAGGGCCCCACGCCUGGUCAAACCCCAAUUAGGGGCUGGUCAGCGCGGGAUUAGUCCCAGAGAGGCUGACCAGUGGGGCCCCCCUGUCAGGUUUGACCUGCACAGGUCGGCUGACCUGCUGACGUCAGCCUGAUGCAAUAAAUGGAAUUUCCAGUAUAAAAAUAAUUCAGGAAAUUGCUAAAAAUUGCAAAAAUCAUAGAAAUUAAUCUGUAACUCCAAUGAAAAUAAUUUAUAUAUGAAAAAGUAUCAGAAAAAUUCAAGGAUUCUGAUUAUGCUAUUUUCAACUAUGUUUGAAAAAGUUACAGAACCCUAAAUUCUGAAAUAAGGAAUAAUUCAAUUCUUUUAAUCACUUUAUAAAUGGAAUUUGCAAAAAUAUCCAAAUUUCAUUAUAAAUGCAAUGAUCACACACUGCCCUAGAUGUAAAUCAGUACCAUAACAUGACAUUUCAUGCAUGUUAACAUUAGGUUGAUCUGAGCAUCAGGUCGAAUCAAUUAAACCGGUAUCCGGGAAUACCCAUUUGAAUUGCUAUUCGAAUGUGAUUCAAAUCAACUCUAAACCUAAAACAUCUUGAUUAUAAUAACUUAUCACUUUGCAUUCUCAUGCCAUGCUCAUGCAUCAUUUUGAUUGCAUAUGAUUGUUAUUGAAUGUUACCGUUCAUUUCGGUAGGCUCCGCACCCCCGGAUUCCACCGAAUAUCCGCCCGACGGAUAUCGUUCCUCCUCUGAGCAACAAGGCAAGCACCCCUUUUGAUCAUCCCGAUAACACCUAUGUUCUUGCUCCUGCACCUAUUUAAUGCAUUAGGAUCAAAUGCUUCAACUGCUUUUGCCACGAUAGUUGGACCCACUUCCUUUGCAUGACUUAACCUUGUCACAGUAAAUAGCCGAACCUUGCAACCUAGCAUACCUGGUAGUUGCUUGAGCUAUGAUGUGCCUUAUCCUGCUAUGCAUGCUAUGCUUAGAGUUGUGUAUGGUCUGUCAUCUGGGAGAUGAACAGAAAUGUGGAAUGUGUUCGGUAAGCAAAGGUCGUGUGUUGAACUUGAUUUGGUAAAGGUACCGGUGAAAGGCUAUGUAGGAGUACAUGGUGGGUUGUUUCAUUGGAACCGUCCUUAGGAACUGAGUUCCGUGUAUGUAAUCCAAGACUAGAUACUACCACAUGCUGGGCCCUGAAAUAUGACCUCGCUCGGCCUAUUAAUCGCGUAGUACUCGGUCCAGGAGUUGCAAGUAGUUUCUGGUGUUUAUAGAAAUGCUGGAGGCCGUGCAUGGUGCUGACCUGAGAGGUGGACCGUGAUGCGGUAGGCAGUGGCACGGUGUACCAAGUGGCACCCGGAUGGUGGGCUUGGGAACCCUGCGCACAUCGUUUGAGGCCGUGGCGGA
rnacentral:lncRNA from 1 species